rnacentral:tRNA from 1 species
AGUCUUAUAUUCAAUUAUGAUAUAAAAUUGCAAAUUUUAAGGUGGGUAAAUUUCUAAGGCUU